UCCCUGGUGGUCCAGUGGUUAAGAAUCUGCCUUCCAAUGCAGGAGACACAGGUUUGAUUCCUGGCUGGGGAA
rnacentral:tRNA from 1 species